GGUUUGUGAAAACGGAGGAAGACUUCUGAACGGUGUCUGUAUCUGUCCGGACAACUGGACCGGAAAGAACUGCUCAGUAGCGAGUUUCUGCGAAGCCCAGAAGGUGGGGAAAUUCAACUUCCCACAAACACCCAUCGGCUGGUACGCUUAUUCUAAGGAAAAAUGUCUUCCAGGAACGCAUGCCGCGGGUAAACCCCAGGCUUCGACCAGAUGUUCCAAAAGGAACAUAACCGCGAGUUUCCAGGAUCCGCCGCGCGUCCUCGAGUGUGGACAGACGCUUGCCGACAUUCUACAAA